UUUGCAAGCACAGUCUUCAGCUUCUCACCAGAUUAUUUACUGAGGUAUUAAAGGAUAUUGUUUCAGUUUCCCUGAAUGAGAAAAGAGAAACGAUCUUAAUAGUUGAUCUGUGUUGUAGCUCACAGCUGUGCCACUGGACUGGAUUGAGAUUGGGGAGUGGAGGAGGGGAGCAGAGGAGAUCGAUGCAAGAGAUAAAGAAAAGACAGGAGCAGGAAGGUGAAAACAACAAAGGGAAUCGGAAUAGAUGUAUUUGGGUUAAGGUAUCCCUAUUCUCUUGGUGCUGUACUUACCCAUCCAAUAUAGACUGAGGAUUGAGCAUGUUGAUUCCAGCUUCCUCAAGAAGAACGAGGGAGGACGAUAUGACAAGUUACCAUCACUUCAAGUUAUUUGCCAGGAACAUUGGGAUUCCACUGUCCUGCAACUAGACUGAGUUUCUUUUAAUGUGUUGUCACAGUUUUCUGCUAUUUGGAUGCUUACAAGUGAGAGGUGCACAUGGCCCCAUGACUUCCUUAAGUUCAGUCUCCCCAAAAGCCCUUGUUUCUUAGACAGCAACUGAAAAAAUGUGUUUCUAGACCCUUCCCAUGAAAGCACUGGUAGAGUAUAAGUGCAGGCAGGGGAGGCAGCAGGCACUUGGACAUGAGGCAGGUGCUGAAAAGAAGUCAAGGUAAGCUCAAACCGGUCUUGAGAUCUAUACUCUAAAAUCAAACCAGAGUCCAAGGCUUUUCACUAAGAACAGCAUAAAUCAUAUUUACAGGUUCUGCUACAUCAAUAUAAUCAGUGAAAUGUUAUGCCAAGAUUUCUCUCAGCCUUCAAUAUGCUACCAAGUAUGCAAAAUACGUGGCUAUGUUAAAUUUUGAUGUUGAAUGAUAAAAUAAUUACAAUAUUGUGAAAGACUUUCACAUUAUUAAAAGAAGAAAUUUGGUCUAUUUGUCCUGCUUUUGCUUAAAAAGUAUCUUAGUUUUCCCUGUUAGGACAACCAUGGACCCCUGGGCAUUUGUUCAAGUUAAUGUUUUUCAGUGACUUUUAGCACAAUUUAUUUUUUUCUGUCGAAGAAAGUAUGAAAAAGGCUAGAAAUAAUAAUUAAACAAUAAUUGGUUCAUGUAACAAAUUCACAUGCACAAAUAAUUAAAUGUCAUAUUUUGACAAAUUCAUAUCAUUUGAGAUCCUAAAUGCAAUUUUAAACAGUUCAUUUCUUCUUCUUAGGACUUCAUUUCAUUGUGUAAUAGAAGCCUGUUAAGAAAUAGAUAACUUAAAAGAUCAUCUAGACUAUCUUUCUGUUAAUAUAUAAGUAAGAACUUCAGGAUAGUG
rnacentral:lncRNA from 1 species